UACAGAGGUCCCGAGCGUUGUUCGGAUUCACUGGGCGUAAAGGGCGCGUAGGCGGGGAGGUAAGUCGGGUGUGAAAUCCCUCGGCCCAACCGAGGAACUGCGCCCGAGACUGCUUCUCUUGAGUCCCGGAGAGGAAGAUGGAAUUCCCGGUGUAGCGGUGAAAUGUGUAGAGAUCGGGAGGAACACCGGUGGCGAAGGCGGGUCUCUGGGCAGUAACUGACGCUGAGGAGCGAAAGCGUGGGGAGCGAACAGG
rnacentral:rRNA from 1 species